rnacentral:lncRNA from 1 species
CCGAAUUUGAUUUCAUGGGAUCACGAUUAGGACCAAGUUCUUUAUAUACCUGGAAGAGUAUAUAGGCCACAAAAGGGUUGCUCUAAUCAAGCAUGUGUUGGCUAGUUAGUAUGGGAUCAAACAUCUCCAUCUGGACUGAUGCAUGGGUUCCGAGUCAAAAGGACUACAAAAUUCACAACAAUAAUAAUGGUCAAUCACCAAUCAAGGUUUCUGAAUUUAUAGAACCAUUUUUGAGGCAAUGGAAGGAAGAUCUUAUUACCAGAAUAUCUUUUGUUGAAGAAGCCGCGAAAGUGUUGUGUAUUCCUCUAUCGCGUCAUCCGCAUGAAGACAGACUGGUUUGGAGAGGUGAACCAAAGGGCGAGUACUUUGUAAGGAGCGAGUACAAGAUGCUCGUAUAGGAGAAUUACAACCACAUAGCUAACAACUACUCAAAUACAUUCAAACAGUACUACAGGAAACUUUGGCAAUCAGAGCUACAGGGAAAAAUUCAGAUUACAAAUUGGAGAGCUUUCAACAAAUUUCUCCCAACCAACAACAAUUUGUAUUACAGAAAGGAUUAAUAAUUCAGCGGCUUGUCCUAGAUGUACCGAUGGUUUCAAGACUUUGGAGCAUGCAUUUUGUGAUUGUACCUUUGUCAAUGAGAUUUGGAAGGAGUUAAAUAUAAAUUGGGAUCAAGAGACAUCAAAUGAUGAUUACAGGAAUUGGAUUAGUAAAAUCUACCAUAAGAGUUCGAGGGCUCGGAGUAGGGUAGUAACAUAUGCUAUUUGGGCAAUCGGAUAGACAGAAGUAAAAUUGUUCAUGAUGGAGGUCACCAAUCAAGCAGCAGAGAAGCAAAUUUCAUCAGAUUGUACGUAAGGGACAUAGAGGUGAUUAACGAAAAAUUACCUGGUAGGCAAAUUGUUUCGGAGAGGCGGAGACCACUAGAACCCCCUGGUUCAAGAUUAAUUUUGACGUGACUUAUCUUUCCAAAUCAAACAAAUCUUGUUCAGGGUUAGUUGUCCCUAAUACAAAAGGCAAGAAAAUGGGUUCGAGAACGAUUAUUAAUGAUCAUGUGCCUACCCCCUUUGCAGCGGAAGCGAUGUCAUGUCUCCAAGCAGUUUAGAUGGGUUUGGAUCUAGGUUUUAGUGAGGUCAUAGUUGACAGAUAAUCUAACUGUGAUUAAGAAGAUACAUGUACAAGAGAUUGACAGAUCAGUGUUAAGUGCCUAUAUAAUCGAUGCAAAGAAAACUAGUGAAGAUUUUAGUGGAUGCAUGUUCAGGCAUGUAACAAGAAACAAGAAUGAACUGGCCCACAUUCUUGCUACAAAAGGUUUGUGAAGGGAGGAAACUACUUAUCUAGUGGAAAGGGUGCCUCAACAUGCAAUAGCAGCGAAA